rnacentral:rRNA from 1 species
GAUGAACGCUGGCGGCGUGCUUAACACAUGCAAGUCGAACGAAGCACCUUGAUUCGAUUCUUCGGAUGAAGAUCUUGGUGACUGAGUGGCGGACGGGUGAGUAACGCGUGGGUAACCUGCCUCAUACAGGGGGAUAACAGUUAGAAAUGACUGCUAAUACCGCAUAAGACCACAGCACCGCAUGGUGCAGGGGUAAAAACUCCGGUGGUAUGAGAUGGACCCGCGUCUGAUUAGGUAGUUGGUGGGGUAACGGCCUACCAAGCCGACGAUCAGUAGCCGACCUGAGAGGGUGACCGGCCACAUUGGGACUGAGACACGGCCCAAACUCCUACGGGAGGCAGCAGUGGGGAAUAUUGCACAAUGGGGGAAACCCUGAUGCAGCGACGCCGCGUGAGCGAUGAAGUAUUUCGGUAUGUAAAGCUCUAUCAGCAGGG